UGUAUUAUAAAUAAAAACAAUCGUAAUCUAUAUUUACUCAACAAAAAACGAAAGUAUCUUUAUCAUAAGAGUGUUGCAAGUCAAGGCCGGCCAAGACGAAUGCCUAGCCAAUCCAUGACAAUAUGGUGGCGUGCGGCGACGCGUCAUUUUGAUCCUACCAGAACAGAAUAUCAGCGAGUUAUGCUCUGAUUAUUUUGGUCUGCGAGCAAAAGAAGCACGAACGAGGAACUCUGCAUCGUGCUCUUCAAGGUUUCAUGUGGGUCCUUCAACAGGCCCUGGACAUGGGUGGACUCCUCGGUCCAGGACCCCAUUAGCCGCAGCUGCCCGGCGUGCUCUCAUGGCCAGAUCGAACUGGUCCCGGGAGUUGAGGCUAGACAGCAAGGCUUCCCAUCGUUUGGGUCUGUGUCAGUGAAAAUGGCGGCCUCCGUCCUGGCAUGCACAACAUGCCCGGCGUGGCGAUCAUGGCGGCCACGCCGACGUAACACAAAAGGGGCCAAAAAGAAGUGCAAGCUUGAAAUUAUUAUUUGACAAGAAUGCAGAAUACAAGGAGGCCCCACAUAUGUUCCAGUGGUGUUUUCUGGACCACAUUUGAACUACAGAUGAAGAUGCAGAAUUCGGAUCUUUGGAUGCAUUUUUCUCAUUUUGCAUUUGUUUGCAAGUCAAGGAAGAAUGAAGGAUGCUACAUCAAUGUUCUGAAACAUUUCAAGAGGUGACAAACUACUAUUGAACUGUGAAGAUUUAGUACAAGUGGCUUUAAGCCUGUGAAUACAAGGGUUCCUGGACAUGGUCAUGACUCCCAAGAAAGAAACCGAGACCACAUGCUGACAAUGUUCAUCCCUGUUCCAACAAAGAGAGGCCAGCCUUAACCAGCUGGGUUUUCCAGAUUUUGCGCAUCACAGCUUGGGCUGUCCCGUGCCACAAGAAGUCAUUUCUGCAGUGACCGUGGAAGGCAUCCCACAAGUCUUACUCGACAUUAGCACCUUUGUCCUGCAGCUUUUCUACCAGCAGAGCUAACUAGAGACGAGCAUUGACAUGGCAGAGGGGCUUCCAGAGAGUCUGAAGCUGGCUCAUCAAAUGGCCUUUCUAGAAAGAUGAGUGAUACGUGCUGAUAUUCUCUGAAAUAAAAUGUGCAGCUGCUUUUGGUACUAACGAGGGUUUGUUUCCUGUUACUAAUCUGGUACUGUGGUGGUAGCUGGAGUGUUUUUGUGGCACCUUGAUUAUGCUGAAAUUUUAUUUGCAAUUAUUCAAAUGUAACCUUGUGCAGUAUAUAUAAAUAUGCAAGAAAUAGCAUUAAAAGGAGUGGCCAGUACCACACUUUUGCACUCCGGUAGCGCUGCAAUGGUAGUGGAAAACAGCAUUCAAGCUUCAAGUAGACAGCAAUCAGGCUUUAUUAAUAGCAUAUCAAGCCUUCUUAUGCUCAGACUAAAGCUGCUAGGACAUGCAGGCCUAGACGAGCAAGCCUGGAAAAGUGGACAGAUACGUACCGACUGAUACAUGCAAGGUGAUACAGGCAGUUUGAUUCAUUCAGUCUUAUACAUUCACGCUGAUAUAUGCAGGCCCAAAUUAUGUAUUCCCUUAGACCAAUAGGCUGCUGGAAUUUGUUACUAUAGAGAAUAUCUAGUUAGUACACUCAGCUUUUGGCGAGACAGUCACAGUUGUCAUGGUAUGACCUUUGAACACUGCACUGGGCUGACUGACCAGCGCAUCAGGGGUUUGUGACAAAAUGUGCGACAACCAUCUGUGACAAAAGAUUUCCCUGGAAUGUAAAUCUUGAAUGCACUUUGUUUAAGGAGAGAUACCAAUCAAAUGCUCCCCCUGCCCCGUCCUUGUGGUCUUCUCCUUUUCAUACUGUGUUUGAAGCUGUGCCGAUGUGGAGUGAUGCUCACAUUGCACUGUCUGAUUUCAUAUACUAUUGGUGCUUUGGCGUGACUCUCCGCCACCAUAUCGGUUAGGGAAGUCAUGAUGAAGGCCAAGCAACAUGUGUGGGGACACAGUGAUGGAACGAAGCCUAGUGGUGCUAGUGGGAGGAGCAAUUGGUGUACUGCAGAGACGAGCAGUGGGGACCGCGAAGCAAAUAGAUAAAAUGGUUGGCGAACUCGGGAAAGUUUCCGAGGACGUUCAGAUUGCAAUGUGCACAGUGCCAGAGGUUGAAAGUCAAGGAUGUUAAAUUUAAAGCGCAGUGUUUGCAGCAAACAGGGAAAUUUAUUUGCUGGCUAAUGCAGUGAAUUUCACAGUUAUUGACAUCAACUGGGAAGUGCACCGAGCUGGCCGCAAAAGCACUUUUGUGUGUGAAGUGAUGCAUUUUAGCGAGCAGGUAGUUUCACUGGUGGGACGCUGAAUUGUGGCACGAGCAGUAGGUUUUUUAGGCAGGGCACCGGACUUGUAGUGGCACCCCACAGUGGCCAUGGGAUCUAUGCUACGUAGCAGACUGCAGCUAAAUGCAACUGCAGUGUGCAUGCGUAGUGUUUGCUUUGCGCACGACAGGGCUUGGGUGCACGCUCAUGUACUCCUGUCUGGCUGUGCUACGUAGUGCAGACUGGCUUUGUCCUGCACCAGCUUGUACGACGGAUAGUAGCCACAUCUUUUUGCGCAUUUUGAUGCGCUACCAAUCACUCAAUACUAAGUGAAGUCUGCCAAGGUGUAUAACCAAGUGCAAAAUUUGAGGGUGGAUUUUGGCUUACUUCAGCCUGUUUAUUGAACUGCAUCAAUAAAUAUACACAGUAACAGUAGGAAGAAGCGCACUGAUCCAAACACCCUUCUUGAUUGAUGUCAGCUAUUGGCCAAUAGCAACUGUGUAUGGGAAUGUGCUAUAUUAUGAAACAAAAGGUCCAGAAAAAAGUGAGGAACAGGCUUCUGUUGAAAAGAGAGUGUUUGAGAGAAAGGUGACUUUGCGCCCCGCUUGCGAGCUCCAUGCGCCGAUCAUGACUGCAAAACUUGGCUGAGAUGUUCACAGCGUGUGCUGUCUGCUGACUGUGUUCUUUCACCAAGCUCAAGGGGUGGUUCAGGACGCCUUUAAGUACUGAAAGUAGCGACACACCAGCAAGGAGCAGAAUGAAAACACAAGGAAGUAAGAAAUGCAGCUCAAAGAAUAAACAUAGAGACUGUACAAUUUUUUACAUAAACAUGCAGCAUGGUUGAAAGCAAGAUAAAUGGCUGAAAUUUGAAACACAGCUGAAUGAUGAAGCUGUUAGUAUGUACGCCUCGACUGAAACACAUCUCCAAGAUUUAAAGCAACUGCCAGUUAUUGACAAUUUUGUAUGGGGAGGGUGCAACAGUGAAUAGGUCAAGGAAAGGCAUAGGCACACUUGUAAGGUGAGGUACGAAGUGCAAAGGGUAAAGGAGAUGUGUAAGGAGCAUUUAUGGAUUGGCUGCACUUUGGAAGGAAAAAAGAUGAAGCUGGGAGUAGCUUACAUAUGGACAAGUAGUGAUAGCAGAGAACAAGAUAGAUCAUAUAGAUUGGCUGCAUUAUAAACAAUAUUAUUGAGUUCAGAAAAUCAGGCCAGGUGAUAUAUAGUCGGAUAUAUAAAUGCUCACAUGAAGGAUCUAGAUGGAUAUAGUACUGAUUACAGCGGUUCUCUAGUGCUAGAUCUGUGCGAGGAACAGAACCAGGGAGAAUAAAUGUCAUGGACAGGUAAUGUGGCAAUGCAGGAAUAGGCAGUCAUGUAUUGACUACGCCUUAGUCUAUGAUCAUAAACGAUUUACGAAUGACUAGGCCAUACGACGAUAGCCUUGGCAGUGACUAUAAAUGUAUAACCUUAACUUUUGGGAGAGAGACCGAUGCAGGACAGGAAGCAACAGCAGCAUAAUACUUCAAACUAAAUGAAAAGCAAAUAACAGACAUAGCAAAAACCUAAAGAAGAAAGUGGAAGCCUUUCGUACAGCACUCUGAUUGCAAGGAACUCGUAGACGUCAUGCAGCAUGAGAUAAAACAAACAUGGCUAAAAAUCAUUGGAGUGGAAAGAGAAAACCACACAAGUGGUGGAACAAGAAAAUAAAGCAAGCUAUAGAAGAGCAAUAGCAGGCUUCCAGGGAUCAAAAAGAAGCCAAUAAAUUGAGAUUACACAAAGGAGAGGUACUGCUUAGAUGGAACAAGUAAUGGGACAACAAAAGGGUGGCAAGCGAAGUAGUGCAACAAAAAAUUCAAUGUACAAGUGAAAGCUGGGCGCAUAACAUUCGCAAAAACAAUUGCAUACCAAAAAGAUUCUGUAAUGUGAUUACAACUGCGCAACUGGACACGGACUGAGUAAAAGGAGGGGACACCACACGGUGCUGUCAACUUGCCUGACUUUCCAUCCUGCUGAUUCUGGAACCAUGUAAAGGCACUAGCAGCAUGAACUACAAAUGUGCAAAUGUUUAUAAGGGAUAACGAUGGCAACAUCUUCGAAGGAGACGACAUGCUAUGGUAUGACAUGCUUUGGGGGCACGACACCGUUGAACGCAGGAUGCUCAUCGCUUUCCUAAUGUUCCAGAUACUGUCGUACUGGUCUUGUGCUGGUACAUGCCCUACCCCAGAACCCUUUCUGCAAACCGGAUAGCCUUCCCUGAAACCGCCACAAUCCUGGGCUACCAGUCUGCCUCUCGUCACUGACGCCGUGAAGAAAAGUCCAGUUUCAGCGGCAGAGGCUUCGUUCACCUGACAAUGCCCUAUGAAAGCGACGUCAUCAGUCACAAGGUCCAGCCAGGCUGUAUUUAAUCCGUGUGGCAAAGCUGAUCGGCUGGGGCACGACACCGUUGAACGCAGGAUGCUCAUCGCUUUCCUAACCUUCCAGGGAGUCUGAAAAAUUGGACGUCGACUGUAAAACUGACUAAGAGGAUGCUUCAAAUGGUCCUUGGGGCGAACGCGCGGUGGAAGGACAACGAAAACAGAAAGGACCUACGCACUGAGGAAGGAUUGGGAAAGGAACUGUGCCGCCGCUUCUUUGAAGGAGAUUGAUCUCAAAAAACAAACUGUUGGCUGACGCCGAGAUACAGGUGUCCCUCAUCCAAACCAAAAUAAACUCUUUAAAGCAGUGAAAUGCAGCACUGAGGCAUUGUGCAGGGGCUGAGAGUAUGUCGGGACAGUUCAGGUUGACUUACCAACUGUUGAGAGGGAAUCUCACUUGUGAGAAAGUUCGGGCCUCAUACAUAUGAGCUUGCUAUCAGUUGAUAGAAAUAGCUCAUAUUCAAAAAUAUUUGCUUCUGUAUCUAUCUGCUUUUUAUUUGUAUUUGAGAAUGUUCAACUCGAUUUGCAAUGGGUUCUACCAUGAUCUUUUUGAAGAUAUUCGCUGUGCAUUUUACUAAUCCCUCACUUCUGUUUUCUCUUUGAAUAAAAUAAACACUACUCCUUACUA